AAAAAAAAUAAUUGAAAACCAAAAAAUUAUCUCAAAACCGUUUCUUUCACUCCCAGAGGGCAGAGAGCAACCCCAUUGCCCCAUUCUAGUCUUUCGCGCCAUGGACGACGAGGCAAGCGGCAGAAGAAGAGAGGUCCUGUUCUUGGUGGGUUUUUGAAUGCAAGCAAGCAGAGAAAUCAAUCUGGUUAAUGAAAUGUCCUUCAAUAGUCUCUCGUUCUCCACGAAGCCAAGAACACGAGGGUCGUGAUGGUGAUGCCUCUUCACUCCCCGUGGAUAAAGUCAUCGUCGACCCUCUUAAAGGUCUUAAAGGCAAUGAUGAUGAUAACUCUGCUACCGUGGUUAAAAAGAUAUAAUUCUUUCGUUUGUUUUUUUAGAUACGUUCAAGUUUAUGUCUUCUGGCUUUGUUUUUUUCCUUGCACGAUUUCUUUUUCUUUUUUGGUUUGAUGGUUUAUUUAUUGCGUGGCUUCUUGGGGUUGUCGAAUUCUUUUUGUUUUGAAUCAAGUUUGUGGUUUUUUCUCAUUGCUGGCUGGAUCUUGUGAUGGUCGUUUCCAGGGACUAAUUUGCGUGGUUUUGGGUUGUUUUGGUUAAGGGUGAUAUUGUGCUGCAGCAUUAUGGGAAUGCAUGUGAUUUUGUGUUGGUUCUUGUUCUGUUUUGUUGGGUUUGCACAUUUUACAAUUUCUUCUGCUUACUGUAUUUCAUGAAUUAUAACUCUUUUAUGGAAUAUAGUAUUCCUUUGCAGUUCAUGUCAUUUUGGUUUUCCUUGUCUGUAAUGUUAUGGAUUGUGUUGCUAAGGGUUUAAUGAAUUUUACCAACGAGAAUUGAAUCUCUUGUUCUCGAACUUAAUAUUCCUGUAGAUUUUCCUUUCCAGGAAUUGUGGGACCGCAAGUUAGAAAUGAUGGUUUCUUGUUCUAACUCAUAUAACAUUUUCAGUUUUGGCAAUUGAACCUGGGAAGCUGAACAAGUUGGUGAAAUUUCGUUGAGUUAUGGGAAAGCUGUCUGUGGAGGGAAGAAUACCGAAUAAAUUCAACACAAGGCCUCAUAGCGCAAACCUUGAGAACCAUGGAAAAAUCUGCCGUGAAAGGACAAGCAAAGGGCGUGAUCAAUAGUAGACAAAUAAAGGUUAUCGACAACGACACUGGGAAUCAUACGAGGCCUAUGCCAGGGAUGAUUAUUUUUGGAUUCGCUGGACUGUGAACUCCAUCAACAUACUUAUCAAUGCUUUUCACUUAGCUUUAUGUGGAGGCACUUCUCUGUUUUGCCAUUACUAAAUAGAUCAGAGAUAUUUAUAACAAGGAUUAUUCUGUCUAAUUGUGUUUGUACUUGGAUAAGAGGAAACUGUCAAUCAAGGCAUCAUAUAUGAAAAGGACGAGAAGAGACUGUUGAGAAAUGGAGGGGAUUAUGUUUAAGCUUUUUGAAAAGCAACCAAUUGGACAUAAGACAACUGAUCCUAGAGACGGACCAACCCGGAGCUUUUACUUGUGUUGGUUUCUGUUACGAACUCAUCCUUGAACACAAUGAUAAUAUGAAGCGUAUUGCAGACUCCAAAUCUGAGAGGCUGAGAAAGCGAUUCGCUCGAAUGCAGAGAUUGGCCAAGAGAUGGCAAAUGCCUCCUUUUGUUCUCGCUUUUCCUCUAUUGGGGUCGCAAGUAAAAUUACUCCCUAAAUUCCUAGCUGCUCAGCUAUGAAAAAUACCUGACCCUGCUUCCAACAAUUGGCAAAAGCUCUUUGAGCCUUUAGUUGAAAUGCAAAAAUCUCCCACUGACAGUUUCAAAUGCGCAUGUGCCUUUUUUUUGUAACUUGAGUGUUCAAAUGGGCAUGAGCAAUCUCUUCAUAGAAUGGUCGUGAUCACAUGCUUCAUGCUAGUUUACCACACGAGUACAUCCUUUCAUCAUAUGGUUUUCUACACGUUGUCCUUGGAUUUCAAAGGAAAUUAUCCAACUCAUCAAAGCCUAACUUCCGACUGCUUAGUGUUCUGAGAUUUUACAUAAUAUUGUUUCUUGCAGAUUAGCAAUUCUAUUUUUUUUAACCCAUGUUUCUCUACACAGGGGAAUUUGAAGCUUUGUUCAUCCUCAAUACAGAGCUUGUUCUAAAAUUCUGAAAAAAACUAUGACUUUGCGUGCUUCUUUUUAUUGUUGAACAUUUUGAACAGCCCUGGGCAAGAUAUAUUCCACGAAUUGUCACACUAAGGAUGACUUUAUCAUCUUGUAACUAUCUUCUUCCCUCCCCUUUCUGAAUAGCAGACUAAUAAAUUUUUUUGUGACUAUUUCAAAAACUUAAUCGGCCAAGCUGCCACCAAGAUCUUCUUUGGGCUAUAUGAAAUGCUUGAUUUUGGAUUUCCUGUUGCUAUUUUGUCAUUAUCUCUGUUGAAUUUUAGUCUAGAAGUAUUUCAUCCUCACCUUCUCUGUCUCAUUGUUACUUUGUCUUUCUGUAGCAAUUUGUGAAAGACAUGCUUCAGGACCUCUGUGUCUACAUAAGGUACUAAUCAAGGAUCAUAUGAACUGAAGCCGGAGUACAAGAAAGCAAGCGAGGAACCAAUGCCUGAAAAGAUUAUAGUAUUGCUGAUGAAUGACUGCAGAAAGGAACUCUCAGUAAUAUUAAGUUCUUUCCCCUGAACUACUCUCCUGAUGCCUUCUCUUUCUGAUGGAAUUGACAUGAACGCAGGAGGGAAGGCCGUUAAGGAAAUAAUUGGCAUUUUUUCUUUUUAAGUUCUGAGUCUUGGCCUCUAGUUUUCAGAUCAGCAGCUGAUGGCAGUUUUGUCAACUUUCUGUAGAGACAAACUUGGCCGCAUGUUUCAUUCUGCUUGGAGACUGUUUGGUACUGUGGUUAAACAGUGUUUUAAUUUUUAUUUUAUUUUUUAGCUUUAAAUUUUUUUUUAAUCAUACUGCAACUACCCACGUUCUGUCCUUUUCUUUUCUUUUCUUCUUUCAUGUCAGACGCUGGCCAUACUUAGCUUCUGGAUUGUAAUAUAGGCCCACGUGGUGAAUUUGUCAGCAUGGUGCCAGUCGUAAUGUUUGUUUUUCUCUCA